AAGGGGAGCAAUCCCUGAGUAAAGUGGCGACCGGGUGAGUAACACGUGACUACCUGCCCUUGAGUGGGGGAUAACCUCGGGAAACCGAGGCUAAUACCGCAUAAUAUCGAAAGAUCAAAGGAGCAAUCCGCUUUUGGAGGGGGUCGCGGCUGAUUAGCUAGUUGGUAAGGUAACGGCUUACCAAGGCGACGAUCGGUAUCCGGCCUGAGAGGGCGCACGGACACACUGGAACUGAAACACGGUCCAGACUCCUACGGGAGGCAGCAGUGGGGAAUUUUGCGCAAUGGGGGAAACCCUGACGCAGCAACGCCGCGUGGAGGAUGAAGCCCCUUGGG
rnacentral:rRNA from 1 species